UAAUGGCUGCACACCUCCAACAUCAUCCUUUUUGUCAUGUAUUGACUAAUGAAAGAUAAGAUCUGGUACGGUAUGAAGGCAAAAGGAGGACACAAAUUGAUGGUACAGAGUACAGUAGGUAGAUUAAGGGAGUUGUUUUCUGUUAAGCCAUCAUCAAGACAGAAAGUGUUUUUUGUUCUCUCCAUUUCCACUUUACAUUUCCUAUUAUGAUUGUUCCUCUGUCUGUCCAUAAUAUGAUGUCAUGCUUGGCAAAUACCCACCCUGUAACCAAAUCAUUUUCAUUUUCAGCCAGUAAAUUUGAUUUGUUCAUCGUAUCUAGACUUCAAACAGUUCAGAUGGUGCACGGAGAAACCACUAUUGCUAAUACUGGUAGCUCUUUCUUUCUCCUGUAUGUACUGUACGUUUGGGAGUUAUUUAAAAGUCUUACUACCAACAGACAUGUGACAUAAACAAGGUGUGUAUUACCUGAGGACAGUGCCAUACAGCGUCUGCACCAGCAUCUAUUUUGACAGACGUACAAAGGAGGUAUGCUGGUUGUGUUGCAGUGAGAAUUUUUUAGGUUUAGAGACAAUUUUCUUCUAGGAAGCUUUAAACAGGAGAAACUAGGUACAUAGUGGUGGCAAAGAUAAAAGUUUAUACAUUCAAGCCGGGUAUUCUUGCUAUUUCAAAAGACGAAAGGGGAAGAGGGUAGAUUCAAGGUCAGUGGAGGCUGAUGAGAUAAUUUUAAAAUUGGUGAUAGAAAUUCCAGGUUGAAUUUGCCAAGUGAACUUCCUGGAAAACAGUGCACCUUCAGCGAUGACUCAUCCUGCUCAACUCUGUGUAACUAAGAAUACAAUAAAGCCAUAAGAACUGCCGUUCAGUCCAUACCUAAUGGGCUAUUAGAGCUUUGUGUCGAGGUGACUGGAAGAAAAGCUACAGAAGGUCAUUGGGGCUCCUGACGCAGACAAGGAGCUGGGAAAGAAUGAAUUUUAGUGUCUAUUUUCUAGACUCUAAGCAGCUCUUUUCUUAAGUGUGGUACAGAAGAGGGACACUAACAAUAAACUAUUGAUUGCAUAUUUAUGGCACCAGCUGGCCUCGUUUAAUUGUCUUGGUCGUCUUUAAAAACAACACUAGUCUGUUUUGUGUAGGCUGAGGUCAGUUAGCUAAAAGGUGGCGUCCUUUGCCUGUUGAUGAAAGAUGGCAAAGCAUAUGGACCCUGAUAAACCUGCAUUUAAACCCCAGGUUUAUGAAUAUCUCAGGAACAACUUUCUAUGCUUCAGUGCUGAUAGUCUAGUAACAGCUUCAGACUACGUGUGUGGGGGUCUGGUACCAGGGCCACAGGUGUGGGAGAAGCCAGUCUUCCUCAACACGCUCACUCCAGUGGAGUGUGACUUUAAAGGUGUCAGUAUGCUUCAACUGAAGUGGCGUCUGAAACCCCCUCUCCCUACAACUUUCCAAUGUCAAAAUUGAGGGGGCUGUGUCCAACAUUUUCUGUAACGUUCUGAAAGCGACAAUCACACCCACACAGUGAUUGGCCAGCUGUGCUGCGGUGAAAAAGUAAACUACCAUUUUUCAAGCUUUUUUUUUUGUUACACAACUAUUUAAAUCACUUGGCGUGUGUACCAAUGCGUGCACCACCAGAUUGUCCAAAAGUGUGUGCUGUUAUCCCCGCAUGAAGGAUUACGUCCGGCCCCUCUCUGUGACGGCUUUUCACCCCACCUUAAAGUGUGGCCAUUCGGAACAGCUUUAAACACUUCUGCCUUCAGACAUGGUCGGACAAUACGCUGUAGUUUGUUUCGAGCAUACUGACACCUUAAAGGAAUAGCUAGAAAUUUUGGGAAAUAUGCUUAUUCGCUUUCUCGCUGAAAGUUAAAUGAGAAGGUCAAUACCACUCUCCAGACUCCUGGAAGUGACUGGUCCCACCCAAGAAAUAAUCUGGCCCAUUACCUCUCAUUAAACGGCAAAUUGUUGUUUUUACACUUUUUUGUAUGGAUUAAACAAACUAGAUGUAACACGUUAAUUAUUUACCUUUAGAGGUGCUGACAGGUUGAUUUUGCUACCUUCGGACAGAGCCAAGAUAGCUCUUUCCCCCUGUUUCAAGACUUUGUACUAAGCUAAGCUAACCAGCUGCAGCUACAUAUUUAGCAUACAGAUGUGACAGUAGUAUUGCAGCUCAUCUAACUUGCGAUUCAUCUUUCCAAAAUGUCGGACUACUGCUUUAAACGAGACAUAAAUGCACUGGGAAUCCUGAUUCAUCCACGAGGAGAUACACUGAGAUAACACCAGUAUGACUCCUGGAGACGCAGGAAGUUGAGGUCUCAGGGUCAUUGUUCCACUUAGCACUAAACGUGUUCAACCAAAUUCAUGUGUAGCGAAGGGUGCUGUCCCUUUCCACCUUCGACUGCUCAACAUGCAUUUGCUGUAGGCAGAUUAGGUAAUACAAUGUAAAGAAGGAGAUGGUAUUUACAUGCCUUAGGGUAGAUUCUUCUUAUUAUAUUAUAUUAUUAUAUAUCUCUGGGGGAGCCUGUGUGUGCUAGUGAGGAAAAUGGGUUAGCUAUACAUUUUAAAUUAUUAAUACAGUCAAUUAACACAGUGCAUAUGUGAGCAAGUUGUUGCGCACCAGUGUGUCUGUUUUUAAAGGUACUUUUGCGAGUGUUUAUGAGUACAACGCUUUGUAUAGUGAGCACAAUUAAGCAGUCAAAGUCUGUCUUUCUUUGAUUUUUUUUUAAAUCGUAAAUGUCUUCCAUGUCUUUUUCUUUCCUUCACAUUCCCCCCCUCCAUCUCACUAACCGAUUGUGCAUUUUGAAAAGGCACAUCACACUAAGCUAAGCACCAAGAGUGAGCCGCUCAGCCAGUCAGCAGACUCCCACCGAGGAGCAGAAGCAGGUAAAUGUGAUUGUGUCAACUCAUCACAUCAUAAAUGUCAAAGUCUUUCCUUUCCUUCAUUUUCUAGUUGUUUGUCACUUUUUCCCUCUUUCAUUUUCUUGUCACAUCCAGAGGUGCUUAAUUUAGCCGAAACCCAAAUGUUGUGUUAGUGGUUAUAGUUAUGUCUCAGUGAUGAAUCAGAAAUAGAAGCCAUUUAAAUCCUCUUUUGUCUCUCUCUCGCCUUCCCUUUCCGUCCUUUUUGUUGUUUGUCCUCGGUCCCCUGUGGUGUGUACUGCAAUCCGAAUUUGGUUGGUUGAAUUUAAAAUGUAAUAACUCAUUUGGUGUGUAAAACACAGCCAGGUUAUAUGAAAGCAGUCUUCAAUCAUUUUGGCGGUAAGGCAAUGAGAUAUUCAGCCAAAUGAGAGAGCCUGGGCAAGUGGGGGAAAAUUGGGUAAGUGAUUUCAAGCAGGUGCUCUUUCCCACCAGGAAGCACGACAGACAGCAGCUCUGAAAGCCAAUCUAUAAAAACUAAAAACACCCCACUUCAUCUUAAGAGUCUUGAUUACUCUGCUUCUCUUCCCGUAUCUCUACAGGGUUGGUAUUCAACUCUCAAGUUCUCUGUGGUGAACUCGUGCAGGCAACGGGAUUUGAAAGUUUAAAAGAGUACAAAAAACAAACAGCUCGACACGUCCCAAACAACUCUGGGCAGGAACUGAUGGAGGGACAAUCAAUAAUGUGCUCCAAGAAAAAUACAGCCAAGCAACCAACACAUCUGCAACUAAAUAUGUUUUUAUUGGUCACAUGUUAUGUCAGAUGUGGGGUGUGCAGUUGGACCCUUCUCCCCCGACCUCCUCCCUACGCAGUUCCUCCUUCAUAACUACUACGGCUGCUAAAGGGCUUCGCCACUUCAACACAUGUUCUGGGGCACAGAACAACAUGUGUUGAACAGUUAUGUUUAGUUAUCUUAAAUUUAAGAAUAUUUUAAGAUCAAAUCAAUUUACAAGAUGUAUUUUUAUUUCCUGAAGUCUUAACGUCAGCAAUUUGGUACAAAAAAGAUGUCAACUCACAAAUACUGGCUGGUAAUUUCAACUGCAACCUCCCCCAUCAAGUAUCUGCAUUUUCAUAUUGGGUAGCAAGCUGUGGGUCAUCUCUGACAGAAUGUUUAUGGUUCACCAUGUGCAUUUAAUAGAGGCAGUCAUUAAUAUUAAUGUAAUAUUCAAUAAUCAAUAUUCAGCGGCACUUGAAAGGCAAAACAUUUUGCAUGCUGUCGCCCUCUCCAGUGGUGAAACAUGAAAACCACACCAGUUACCAAAAUAUACAGUAACACUGUUGACAUAUAUAUAUACCAGAACACGUAGAUUAUAAAGAGCAUCUACAACCACGUUAAAUGUGUGUUUCAAUCAUCCACUAUACGGAUUAAUAGAUUACAGAUAUAUUGCAUUAAAAACAUUAUGAAGGUUCAGUCUUGACCUUGGGAACACAAAAUAACUGAUUAUUUGACAAAAUAAUCAAUAAUCAACUCAAGGUCCACUUACUGCACUAGCAUUUUCCAGAGCUGUCAACUCCAUCUCACAGUCUUCAGCACGAAUGGAGUUGGCUCAGUUGUCAUCAAGUAUGGAACUUCGAUCAUGUGAUGACAAAGACGGUGGGUCACAAAAACUAAGACAACAUUCACUGAUGAAGACCGUGAGAUGCAGUUGAAAGCUCCGGCAAAAGUUAGUUAGUGGUCAUUGAGUUAGUGAGGACUUGACCCAGACUUGUUUUUUAGGUUCCUAGAUACAAGUCAGUGUUUUAGGUGUUUGACGACAAGUUUGAGUCAUAUUUCACCAUUACACC